rnacentral:rRNA from 1 species
UCCUACGGGAGGCAGCAGUGGGGAAUUUUGGACAAUGGGCGCAAGCCUGAUCCAGCCAUGCCGCGUGCAGGAUGAAGGCCUUCGGGUUGUAAACUGCUUUUGUACGGAACGAAAAGGUGCCUUCUAAUAAAGGGCGCUCAUGACGGUACCGUAAGAAUAAGCACCGGCUAACUACGUGCCAGCAGCCGCGGUAAUACGUA